GCAGGGGAGCGGGCUGGCACCUGGGCACAGGCGUAGACAUGGCUGAAACGCCGGCCUGAGGAGGUCAGGUACCAGUGCUGGAUGGCGGGCUGGGGGUCGUACUCCGUGACGGCCACGCCGUUCACAGCUGUCAUCAUGAGCAUGUUGAGCACCUCGUUGGAGAGCUUGGUCCUCUCAUCGGUCCUGAUCCGGUUCAUGGCCUUGAACCCCCGCUCACAGCAAGAGGUGGAGAUGGGCACACAGACCACCACGGCCAUGAGCUUGCUUAGCAGGGGGAAGCGGCAGUGCUGGGCCAGGGCGUUUUUGCAGAGCAUGGAGAACGGGAGGUGCUGGGCAAUGGUUUUCAGGCCCAGCCACUCCUCCAGCAGAGCUUCCUCACUGUAUCCUGUUGGGAGGGAGCACUCGAAAUACCUGGCCAGGUUGAGAAUGUCAUCAUUCCCAAAACUGGCAAGUUCAAUCCCACUUGGCCAGGCCAUGGUGUCAAACACCUCCAUGUUCUUCAGCUGUGGGGGUCGGUCUGCGUCAAACCUCUGCUGGAGGUACUCAAUCCCCGUCAGGACCGUCCUCUCCCUAUCCGCCUGGAACCGCUGUUCCGCUACCUCCAGUUUGUCCAAGCAGAUGCCGUGGAGCCGCCCAUCCUUGAAGCUGGCGUUGAAUUCUUCCUCUUUGGGCCCUGCCUGGUGACGGAGGCUCUCCAGUGCCACGUAGGCACGGCCCAGCGUGGCGUUCACCUCUGUAAUCAGCACGAUCUCCUUCUGGCACACCUCGGACAGAGGCCUGUAGAUGCUCAGGAAGUCCAACAGGAAGUGGCAGAACUUGACAAAGUGGAAGCCGCGCAUGAGCUUCAGCAUCCCUUUGGCCCGGUGCCCAGUCUGGCCCCCAGCCUCUGCCACCCUCUGGAGGUGCCUGGCCAGGGCGGGCCAGCUCACGAGCAGCGCGUGCAGCGUGCGCCUCCUGCUGGCCACCCAGCGGACCGCAUUCAGAUCCUUCAGGCGCAUGAUCUCCUGCUCCAGAGGCGCCGCACCUUCCUGCAGCUCGUUCAGCCUCUUGUUUGAGGACUGAUAAAACUUGAAGACGGUGCGGAUGUGCCGGUCACACUUCUUCACCAGAUCGAUGCUCCCGCAGGCGUCCACCACAGCCAGGUGCAGCCGGUGGGCCACGCAGUGGACAGGCAGCAGCUGCGGGAUGACCUCCUGGAACUUUUCCACAAGGCCUCCUCUGCAGCUCAACAUGGCUGAGCCAUCCGUCCCCAGCCCCACCACCCAGCCAGGCUUCCGGAAGGGGAUGUCCAGCUCAUCCAGGGCAGAAACGAUGGUCUCGAAGUACCCAUCUGCUGUCUCACUGUAGAGAGGGGCCAGAGUGAUGUAGGACUCUUUCACCUCCAUCUGCUUGAAGUAGCGGAUGUAAAUCCCCACGCAGGCCUGCUCGGAGGCGUCGGUGGAGCUGUCCAGCAGCACGCUCACACAGGGCGAGUUCCGCACGUCCUCCAGGAUCUCCCUCUUCAGGGUCUCUGAGAUGUACUUGAUGAACUGAGUGCACGCCGUGCGAUUGCGGUACUUGCCUAAUAUCACGGUCCCCGUGCUUUGGAGGAGCUGCAGGAUCUUCUCAAAAUCAUUCAGGGGCCUUGAGUGGUAUGCGAUGGAGUAGGCGGCAUUGAAAAAGUGCUCCAUGUUGGCCAUGAGGUCGCUGGAGAUCUCUGGAACGAGGGCAGUGUGAGGGGUGUCUUCCUUGAUUUCAACCGUGUUGACACAGAGCCUGUGCGCUUUGCUGACUUCAUGGUAUUUUAAAGUCUCCACUUUAAAAGGCCCCGUGUAACCUCUGACUAACCGAGAUGAUUUGUCGUGGAGAUUAGGUCUUUCUAUGCAGGCUGAGCAGAAGAGUUUGGUCUCUUUGGGGUCAAUUACUAACCAUGGGAACUGCCCAAACCAUGACCUCUGAAUGGAACGGGGCCUGUAUGUCCUCUUGAUUCUCCUAGGUCCAUCUCCUUCCUCACAAAUGCUGGAACUGCAGCAGGAGGCACGGGCCUCCACGGGAGAGCCUGGAAGCAACGCGGAGUCUGCAGCCGAGGCCUGUGUGUCUGCCUCUCUCACUGCCGCCAUCUUCUUGUUCCCUUUGGAGAAAAUUAAAUCAUGCUUGGUUCUGCUACCCAGAACUCUGCCGUCUUCUAUCAGCUAAGACACCCCCAAAUUUAAUAAGUAUCCCUUAAGCAAGGCAGAGAAGAUGAAUGCAAUCCUUCUUUCUAGAGAUCAUUAGUGGCGUCCACUUAAACCCUCACCCAUUCUCAUCUGUGAAAGUUCAUCUGGCUCCCCCACAGUUGUUGCUAAUCCUUGUGGGUUCUUUCACCACCGCCCCAACCACCCUAUCCACACAGCUACCCUGGGAUCAUGUGACACCAGAUACCAAUAAGUUCAAUUAACCCCCUUGGCCACAGAGACUGUUGGAUAAGCAGGUGGCUUUCACUCUCGUGUGAGGCUCCACAAUAGAAUAGGUUAAACACCUGCCAAGGCUUUUACAAGCCUCAGAAGGAAGUAGGUACAGAAGUAAGUGUAGCAGCUACAAGCCAAGAAAUUACUGAUUGAGAUACGCAAGACAACGAAUUCUCACAAACCAAUAGUGCUGUCACCGAGCACUGGAGAAGGAGGGAGAAGGGAUGACAGGCUCACAGAUCUCUGGGUCCCCUGGCUCCUCGAGACCAGUGUCCCCACGUACUUGCUCCCACCAGCUCUGCCACAGCCUCCAUCAGCACUUCUGCUUACAAAAGGACCUGUUUUUUCCCUGUUUCCCAGACUACUCUACACUCUGUUGGCAGGGUUAGUUGCUUUACAUGUUGUCUACCCAGGGCCUCCUGCCAGGCUUGGUGCCCAAUCGGCCCCCAUCGGAUGAGCACAGCUGAGCUCAUGCUGUUUGACUCAUCAUAGCCGCCUGGGCCCUGGCACAUGUCCUUCAGAAUGCUGUAGGUUUACACUCACCUGGAGGACGACCUUUCCCCCACUUUGGCCCAUUUGGGUCCUUGAUCCAGGGUGCAGCCCUCCGCUCCAGUUUGGAGAUCAAGUCUGGCUUGGCAGCAGCAGGUCCUGUUGUAAGGAUGAAGAAUCAUGCUGAUGUCACUGCUGUGGCCAAAUCGAGUAGCCCCCUCAAGCUAGACCCAGUCCCUGAAGUACACAGAGGUGUCUCUGGGUUCUGUCCUUAUAAAGUCUAGUCGGCCAGGGGCAGGCUGAGCGCAAACCCAGAGUGCCAAAGAGGCAGUAAGGGGAGGGGCACCCCUCAGCUAGGAUAGGGCUUCCUCAGAUCCAUGGGCCAGCCAUACACACCAGAGGGGGAAGGGUGGAAACAGGAAGAAACAUAGGGACUAAGCAGGAGAGAGAGGCAGGGGGAAACAGCAGCCACAUGAGAAGUGGAAGGUGCCACCCACAGCUGGCCCACGCAUGUGCCCCUCUGCCCCCACAGCUGGCCCACACGUGUGCCCCUCUGCCCCCACAGCUGGCCCACACGUGUGCCCCUCUGCCCCCACAGCUGGCCUCUGUGAAGGUGACCAACUACAUGGGUUUUUGAAAGGGGCACUUGGAGGGCCCCCUGAAAUACCUACCACCUGCAAUGGAGCCUGAAAUCUGACUAAAGGAGAUGUGUGUCUUUGGAUUAAGCACUACCCUUUACUUAAAAUAGGAAUAUUGUUCAGGGGUAUGCAAAUAAACCAUUUCCUCUAUUGAAAAUAAAAUCCAUCACUAUCUACAUCAUGCUUUUGUGUGUGUCUAUGUGAAUGUGUGCAUAAACUUUCUGUGGAGAGCCACACAAGCAACUGGGCCUGUGGGUGCUCCUGGGGAGGAACUGAAGGACAAGGGAAAAGGGAGAUUGGUUUCCACUACUCAUCUUUGGAUCGCUUGAAUAUACUUUAUAUAUAAUGAUACAUAUAUGUGUGUGUCAAUAUCUACAUAUUUACUACUAAUAAAAAUAUAAAUAAGUAAA
rnacentral:antisense_RNA from 1 species